rnacentral:misc_RNA from 1 species
AACAUCAAUCCCUCGGGUUUCUUACCUGUGUGGACUUGGACCUGGGCGUCUGCCUCACAAGGCUCGCCUCAAAUGACUUAGUGGGAACUUCUCGACCUACGCCUGACGUGAUAAGUUUCGUCUCGGCCGGUCUUGAGGCCCGCUCACAACCCCCAAUCCUUUGA